GGCAUAUGCCUUUGACCUGAAUCGAACCCGGGACCCUUCAGUCCGCAGGCCAACAGUCUAGCCACUGAGUCAAAGUGGCUAGGGCAAGAAUUUAUUUUUGGAAAGAGAGAGAAAC